rnacentral:rRNA from 1 species
GAUGAACGCUGGCGGCGUGCCUAACACAUGCAAGUCGAACGGAGUCCAGCCUUUAAGACCUUCGGGUCAAAGAGGGGAAGACUGAGUGGCGGACGGGUGAGUAACACGUGGGCAACCUGGCUCAUAGAGGGGGAUAACAGAGAGAAAUUUCUGCUAAUACCGCAUAAGCACACACUGCCGCAUUGCAGAGGGUGAAAAGAGAAUCGCUAUGAGAUGGACCCGCGUCUGAUUAGCCAGUUGGCAGGGUAAGAGCCCACCAAAGCGACGAUCAGUAGCCGAUCUGAGAGGAUGAACGGACACAUUGGGACUGAGACACGGCCCGAACUACUACGGGAGGCAGCAGUGGGGGAUAUUGCAAAAUGGGGGGAACCCUGAUGCAGCGACGCCGCGUGAGUGAAGAAGUAUUUCGGUAUGUAAAGCUCUAUAAGCAGGGAAGAUAAUGACAGUACCUGAAGAAGAAGCCCCGGCUAACUACGUG